UACGUAGGGUGCAAGCGUUAAUCGGAAUUACUGGGCGUAAAGCGUGCGCAGGCGGUUUGGUAAGACAGAUGUGAAAUCCCCGGGCUUAACCUGGGAACUGCAUUUGUGACUGCAUCGCUGGAGUGCGGCAGAGGGGGAUGGAAUUCCGCGUGUAGCAGUGAAAUGCGUAGAUAUGCGGAGGAACACCGAUGGCGAAGGCAAUCCCCUGGGCCUGCACUGACGCUCAUGCACGAAAGCGUGGGGAGCAAACAGG
rnacentral:rRNA from 1 species